GGCUCAAUGGUUUAGUGGUAUAAUUCUCCCUUAGGGUGGGAGAGGUCCCGGGUUCAAUUCCCGGUUGAGCCC
rfam:Basidiobolus meristosporus CBS 931.73 K493scaffold_1, whole genome shotgun sequence.